UUUUUUAAGUGUCAACUCUGUGCUAGACUUAAUUUCUGCGUAUAAAUUACUAAGAAAAAUAGUUGUAUUUUCUGUCACCAGUAGAGCUCAUAGUCCAACGUGAGUGUGACAGACAAUAAGCAAGAAAAAUGUGAAAAAUUAUAAAGUGAAAAGUGCUUCAAAUGAAUCCAACAUGUUAACAAUCUCUCCUUAUUCCCAUCACGUUCGCUGAAGCUUGAGUUGCAGGUUCUGCCACUUAAUGUAAAUUUGCCUUGAAUUUGAGACCCAAAUAAUCCUGGCAUCUUCUGAUUGCAGAAUCUACACUUACACAGCUAGGAUCUUUGAAAGACGCUUCAAGAUGAGAAAUUUAUGAGAAGACUGAGCAGGACUGUGGACAUCUCUUAGGUCUCCUGAUGUUCAAAGCAUAUUAUGUGUAGGAUAUGUUUGGAAAUAGGUACAGCCCUGUAAUUCUCUCUUUCUCUAACAAACUUCAAGAUGCAUUUUUGAACACUGUGUUCCAUUUAUUUUGUUUUCAUGGUGCGUACAUUCAAGGUUUCCAGUUUCUGGAACCUCUGAGGAAUGUCGUACUUUGGCACUUUAAGUGGCCCUCGUGAACUCCCAGUUAAGAAGAAAGGAAAAAGCUAACAGAAAAGCAGAAAAACAGCUCAAACCAAUGAGCGAGAGCCAAACAGCACCCAAGGCCAGUUUAGAUUUGCAGGCUCUUGAGUAGCUGGUUCUCAACGGCGUUUUUAAGUUAUUCCCUGUUAUAAAGUCUUGGUGAAAGCCCUUGCUUGGUCUCAGUUCUGCUGCUGGGUUAUUAGUGGCCAGACCCCUUGGGGCGUGGGGGCGAUAUCUUGCAAGCCAACAGCAAGAGGCAGCAGAACUGAUGAGUUCUGAGGGGCUGGGUCCUGGGCACACAAGAGAAAGAUCCCGGGGAAAUGCUCCAGAGAGCUGUGGGACCUCUUUGAGGUGGGCAAAUUUCUGGAAAUUGGGAAGUAUAACCUUGUUUUGUUGUCAUGGGCUAUUGAGGCUAGAGAUUCUUAGUAUAGAUAUAAUUUCCUUCUUCUUUCCAAAAUUCCUCCUCUACAGUAUGUUUGGGAAAGGCAUCAUUAUCAACUCCCCCUCGCAUUUCGCUGAGUUUGGUUUCAUAAUUUCCCCAAGGUCACAACGCAGACGUGGAAUGCCAGCCUUCCUGCUUGAGGUGCCAUGUGCGACGUGAACCGUCCUACAACUUUGGGCUAAGGAUGCAGUGUUCUGGGAUACAAUGUUCUCAGUCCUGUUCCCAGUGGAUCGGUCUCCACGGACCACAAAUAGCACAGCUGAUGUUAAUG
rnacentral:lncRNA from 1 species